UUUCCUUGCUUUUUUAUGUUAGUAGAUUUAGGGAACAAAUCAUUCAUUCAUUCAAAUGAAGCUGUCAUAGUGUUGAGGAUAUAGAGCAGAGACAGACACGGACCCGACCCUUUAGGAACUCAAAGCCCCAGAACACCAUUCCUUCACUGUGCUUUAGCACCGCCUCUAAAGAAAAGAAGAAGGAAAGUACUUCUAUUUUGAAUAUAUGGGUAUAUAGGAGUUCCCAUCCUGCCUCAUUGUGUUAAGAACCCAAUAUAGUCUCCUUGAGGGUGCAGGUUUGAUCCCUGGCCUCACUCAGUAGGUUAAGAAUCUGUAGGUGGGGCCACAAAAGAAAAAAAAAGAAUAUGUGGUGUAUAUACGAUUCAUGAUAUUUAUGAUUCCUUUAAAUGAAUUAGGAGGAAGGUCCUAGAGUAUUUUAUAGAUUAAGCAAAACAUAGUUGUGGUAGGUGGCAAAAAUAGCCACUAAUGAUUUCAUCCUUGUUUGUGUGCCCUUUUGCAAUGUCAAUCCCUGGUCUUCCCACCAAAAGUUAAUUCUGUGUCUCCACCCAGUAAACCUGGGCUUGGCCAACAGGGCAUCAACUAAGGUACUGUUAAGGAGAUAGUUGAAAACUGCUUGUGCAUUAGGACUUGCUGUCUUGCUGUACUUGGAACCACGUGGUCGAGCUUGAGCUCCCUUGCUAGAUGAAGACACAUGGCCAUGACCAUGUCACUCUGGCUAACAUAUGGCAACCACCAGAGAUGAGACCAGGCUAUCCCAGACCUUAUGACUGCAGCUGCACCAUUAACUACCAAUAAGUACAUGAGUGACUUAUAGGACCCAGACCAGAGCUACCCAUGGGGAAGUUUGGGGUUGAAGUCAUUCCACCGCACAGAAUUGUGGAAAAUAGUAAAUGCGUAUUGUUUUAAGUCACUCCAUUUAGGGGGUGUUGUUAUGCAGUAAAAGCAAUUGAUACUAUUGUAAUUAUUUUUUACAUUUUUAUUUAUUUUUUUGUCUUUUUGCUUUUCCUAGGGCUGCUCCCGUGGCACAUGGAGGUUCCCAGGCUAGGGGUUGAAUCGGAGCUGUUGCCGCCGGCCUACACCACAGCCACAGCAACGCGGGAUCCGAGCUGCAUCUGCGACCUACACCAUGGCUCAUGGCAAUGCCAGAUCCUUAACCCACUGAGCAAGGCCAGGGAUCAAACCUGAAACCUCAUGGUUCCUAGUCGGAUUCGUUAACCACUGCGCCACGACGGUAACUCCUAUAAUUGUAAUUUUUAAUCUCUUAAAACUUAAAAAAAAUUAACCUACUCUAACUACAGAAUUAAGAUGAGUUCAGGAAGUAAAAAUAUAGGUAUAUAGGUAAUCUUCUAAUGUAAUAUUUUUUAAGACUGCCUGUCAAUUCUAUUGAUGUUUUUACCUGAGGAUAUAAAUAAUUGGUAGAGAUCUUAAAAAAAACAAACUUUAUUGAGGUCUGACAAACAAAAAACUGGAAGUAUUUAUUUAUUUAUUUAUUUGCUUUUUAGGGACACACUUGUGGCAUAUGGAGGUUCCCAGGCUAGGGGUCCAAUCGGAGCUGUAGCUGCUGGCCUACACCACAGCCAUGAUAACGCCAGAUCGGAGCCGCAUUUGCACCUACCCCACAGCUCCUGGCAAUGCUGGAUCCGUAACCUACUGAGCGAGGCCAGGGAUCAAACCUGCAUCCUCAUGGAUGCUAGUCAGAUUUGUUAACCCUGAGCUAUGAUAGGAACCCUGGAAGUAUUUAAUAUAUGGGAGGGAGUGGGAUGCACAGGGAGUUUGGGGUUAGUAGAUACAAACUGUUACAUUUAGAAUGUAGUAUUUACUGUUUGGGAACUGGUAGAGAUCAUUUCUGGUUUUUAUUAUCUCUAGUACUGAUCUGAAAUUGAAAUUGGUUAGGUAUAAGAUUUCCAGAUAACAGAUGAAUAAAAGAACAGGUGAUUGUCUUGGCUUUUAGUCUGGUUCUGCCUGAUACACUACAAGUCAAUAUUUACUUAAUGAGAGAGAAUGGGAUGGACAGAGAGUUUGGGGUUAGUAGAUGCAAACUUACAUUUAGAAUGGAUAAGCAAUGAGGUCCUGCUGUACAGCACAGGGAACUAUAUCCAAUCUCUUGGGAUAGAAUAUUAUGGAAAAUAGUAUGAAAAAAAGAAUGUAUGUAUGACUGGGUUGCUAUGCUUUACGGCAGAAAUUGACACAACACUGUAAGUCAACUAUGCUUUAAUUAAAAAAUAAAUAGAAAACUAAAGACAAUUUACCAUGAUGAGUUAAUACUUGCUGUCUACCCAUAAUCCAGCUACUCAUCCCCUCUAUGUGAUGGCUCCAAGGGAUACAUUCCAGGAUGUGGUAGUUACAGUCUUUGGCUAUGAGCCCAAGUGGGUGCAGCAGUUGUAUCUGUGCUCUUUGUUGUGUGAUACUCCUCAGCCUACUGGAAUCUGGUUUCUGCUCUACCAUGCCAACCAAGUGCUUCUCAUCAAGGUCACAAAGAACUCGGUAUUGCUAAAUCCAGUGGACACUUCAAACUUCUAUUUUCACAUCUUAGCCGCGCGUGACACUGAUGACCAAUUCCUUCUUUAAAUAUGCUCUUCUUGUAACUUCUGUCAUGCUCCCAUCUUCUGGUUUUUCUUGUUCGUUUGAGGGUUUUUUUGUAUCUCUCAGUCCUUUAAAUAUUGGUGUUCCUUCAGGGUAGGUCCUGGGUCACCUUCUAGUCUUUUUGUUCCUGGGCAGUCUCAUCCCUUGCCUAGGUUCUUAUCUUCUACAGUAAUGUCUUCCAAAUUAAUGUCUUCAGCUGAAAUCUCUUUCCUGAGCAUUAGAAAUCAAACCAUCAGCUGAGCAGCUUUUCUUGAUGUCUUAAUCUCAACCUGUCCCAGACUAAAGGCAAAAUACUUCUCCCCUCUGCUCCCCACCCCCAAUCUGUCAGCUCCUUCUAUGGUUGAAACUGCAGUAAAUGACACUAACAUCCAUCUGGUUACCCAGGAGAGAAACUUGGGAACCAUCUUUAAUUUCUACCUCACCUCUACCAUGGUCCUAAAUUAACCAACCCUGUCAGUUCCUCCCUCUCAAAAGCUCUUGAAUAAAUCCAGUUCUCUUUAGCUUUCUCUCGCUGCAGUCCAGAGAAUGUGUGUUCCCAAAUCAUCUGUCUCUGUGCCAGCCAAGGCCUGAAAUGCCAAGCACUUGACUCCAUUGUCCUUUUCAUUUUGCCAGGCAGUACCUGCCCCGAAGCUGCAAAGAAAAAUGCCCCGGAUGACUUAAUCUGAAAGGGCCAGAGAGCGUGGAAAUGUGACCGUGUAUGUGAAACCUUAUUCAUUUAAAAAUAUGAUCUAGUUGCAUCUGUAAUAAUUUCUAGAGCUUAAUGAUUUCUUCAUUUAUUUUCUAGAGCUCCAUAUCUACUUUAUAGCUAAUAGUAACCAUAAUCUCUGUUAUAGCUAGUAAUAUACUACUAAAAUGUAGUAGUGUACUAGUAUGGCUAUAGGAAAUAGCACAGAUUGCUUUUCUCUCUUCAUAGUUUUAGCUUUGAAUUGCCUAUGUUGAAACUCAAAUGUUUGUUUUCUAAUUUUUUGCACAUUCUCAAGAGCUAUUUUUUGUAGUCUGCUGGAAUUUUUCAUCCCCAUAUUUGCUUGGCAAUUUUUCUUACCCCCAAGCUGUCCAGUGUCUACUGUAGAAUUACGAUUCUGUAAAGAUCAACCUUUUAACUGUUGGAUGACUCCUCAUUGCUUACAGCAUUUUUUUUUUUUAAACUCUGUAUCUCUGGCUGGCCUGUUACCUCUCUGUUCUUGCUGUAUGGGAAGUAUCCAGGAACUCACUGAGGCACUGUGACAGAUACACAACUGAAGUACAAACGAAUGAUGCUCCAUGGGGCUGUCCUGGACCACGGAGGGAUGGGAGCCAAGGUAUGAUGUCAAUAAAUGCACUUUAGUGACUUGAUUUCUUUCAUCCUCAGUCUCCUGUUCUGUCAAAUGUAGAGAAGAAUAUUUACAUCACAAUCAAUGCCCUCCAGGGUAUCGAGGAUGGAUUAAAUAAGAUAAAGUAUGUACAGGUCUGUCAAAUAGUAGACACUCAAUAAAGGUUAAUUUUCCUCUCUGUUCCUACAUUUAUGAAAUUGUGAUAAUUGUGAGUGUUAUUAUUUUGGUUAGUUUUUUUACUAUUAGGCUUUUAAAAAAAUAAAGAAAACAUUUAUUUAUUUAUUUAUAUUACGAUUAUUAUUUUUGGCCAUGUGUGUGUGUGGCAUGCAAGUUCCUGGGUCAGGGAUUGAACCCAUGCCACAGCAGCAACCAAAGCCACAGCAGUGACAAUGCUGGAUCCUUAACCCACCGAGCCACCAGGGAACUCUGAAAAUAAUCUUUUAAACUUAAACAUCUGGGAAAAUUGGAAUUAAUACUAACCAAUAAUCAAUAACGAUAGCCAAGAAAUAUAGCUGAAAUAGUAUUCAAUGUGUAGUAAAAAAAAGUACAUUCUAGUUCUGGUUCCAAUUAUGACUGUGUGUGUCACUUCGGACAAUUUAUGGCCACUUACACAACAUUGCUUGAGGAAAUAGACUUGUCCCAAUUCCUAGCAACUGUUGGCAGGACGGUGGGAUGCAAGAAGGAGAAAAAUGUUUAAUAGUAACACAGUCAACAGGCCAUUUAUUUCUGGCUUUCACUCCAAGUAGGAAGUGAAAUAGGUUUGAAACCACACACACACACUUAGUCAUGGCAUGCAAAAUGACGGUCUGCAGAAAGGACACUGUAUUUCCAGUCUCACAGAUGCAGUGACAGAGCUCAGUGAUUCACAGCCAGGAAUAGACAAAGCCUUUCAUCAUGACUGGUUGAUACCAACUCAGUCUUAAAAGAAUUCCUGGGAGUUCUCAUUGUGGCUCAGUGGAAACGAACCCAACUAGUAUCCCUGAGGUUGCAGGUUCGAUCCCUGGCCUCGCUCAGUGGGUUAAGGAUCCAGCAUUGCCAUGAGCUGUGGUGUAGGCUGCAAACGUGGCUUGGAUCUGGCAUUGCUGUGGCUGUGGCCUAGGCCUAUAGCUCUGAUUCGACUCCUAGCCUGGGAACUUCUGUAUGCCCCAGGUAUGGCCC
rnacentral:lncRNA from 1 species